rnacentral:rRNA from 1 species
AACGAACGCUGGCGGCAGGCCUAACACAUGCAAGUCGAGCGGACCUUUCGGGGUCAGCGGCGGACGGGUGAGUAACGCGUGGGAAUAUGCCCUUCUCUACGGAAUAGUCCUGGGAAACUGGGGGUAAUACCGUAUACGCCCUUUGGGGGAAAGAUUUAUCGGGGAAGGAUUAGCCCGCGUUGGAUUAGGUAGUUGGUGGGGUAAUGGCCUACCAAGCCGACGAUCCAUAGCUGGUUUGAGAGGAUGAUCAGCCACACUGGGACUGAGACACGGCCCAGACUCCUACGGGAGGCAGCAGUGGGGAAUCUUAGACAAUGGGGGCAACCCUGAUCUAGCCAUGCCGCGUGAGUGAUGAAGGCCUUAGGGUUGUAAAGCUCUUUCAACUGGGAAGAUAAUGACGGUACCAGCAGAAGAAGCCCCGGCUAACUCCGUG